UACGUAGGGGGCAAGCGUUGUCCGGAAUCAUUGGGCGUAAAGCGCGUGUAGGCGGCCCGGUAAGUCCGCUGUGAAAGUCCAGGGCUCAACCCUGGGAUGCCGGUGGAUACUGUCGGGCUCGAGUCCGGAAGAGGCGAGUGGAAUUCCUGGUGUAGCGGUGAAAUGCGCAGAUAUCGGAAGGAACACCUGUGGCGAAAGCGGCUCACUGGACCAUAACUGACGCUGAGGCGCGAAAGCUAGGGAGCA
rnacentral:rRNA from 1 species